rnacentral:rRNA from 1 species
UACGGAGGGGGCUAGCGUUGUUCGGAAUUACUGGGCGUAAAGCGCACGUAGGCGGCUUUGUAAGUUAGAGGUGAAAGCCCGGGGCUCAACUCCGGAAUUGCCUUUAAGACUGCAUCGCUAGAAUUGUGGAGAGGUAAGUGGAAUUCCGAGUGUAGAGGUGAAAUUCGUAGAUAUUCGGAGGAACACCAGUGGCGAAAGCGACUUUCUGGGGCGUUCCUGACGCUGAGGUUCGAAAGCUCGGGGAGCAAACAGG